AACGGCCGCGGGAUCCUACACCGUGCAAAGGUAGCAUAAUCAUUUGUCAUCUAAAUAAUGACUAGUAUGAACGGCCUAAUGAGGACUCUCCUGUCUCUUGUAACCAAUCAAUGAAACUGAGCUUUCAGUCCAAAAGCUGAAAUAUCCACACAAGACGAAAAGACCCUGUGGAACUUUAAGUGCUAAUCAACACAUGACACAAUCACUUUUAGUUGGGGCAACUUUGGAACAAAACAAAACUUCCAAUCUAAUGAAACACCACCCGGUAAACCAAGGCCCACACACCAAUGUUUACCUUCACCCUGACCCAGUAUUACUGAUUAAAGAAACAAGCUACCCCAGGGAUAACAGCGCCAUCCCCUCUUAGAGUUCCAAUCGACGAGCGGGGCUUACGACCUCGAUGUUGGAUCAGGGCCCCCAAACAGUGCAGCAGCUGUUAAAGGUUUGUUUGUUCAACAAUUAAUG
rnacentral:rRNA from 1 species